rnacentral:lncRNA from 1 species
AUGCACGAUGCAAUCUGGGCAGUCCGUGUACGUUUUUAAUUUGGGUCGUCCGUGCGCGGUCCAAUCUGGGCCGUCCAUACGCGUUCUCGAUCUGGGCCGUCCGUGCGUGCGGGAAUGGAUCUCAGCCGUUCGAUCACGUGCACGCGGAUCACCCAUGUGGCUCCCCCCGCGUGGCCUCCCGCGUCAGUACCUCUACCACCUGGCGCGUCCUGGUUGGUCGUGGCUGCUGACCGGGCAGCUGACGUAGUGUAACUUUUUAAAUUGCAUUUUGACCCCCGAUUUCUGAUUUUUCUUUCAAAAAUACCUCAGAACCCAAAUUUUCACCCCUUUUC